rfam:Cycloclasticus sp. symbiont of Poecilosclerida sp. N isolate specimen N Ga0097676_173, whole genome shotgun sequence.
AAAGAUUAUAAUUAACGGUUUUCGACUGGUCAAAAUAACGGAGAGAAUUAAUGGCACGUAUUGCCGGUAUUAACAUACCUGAU